UUAACCUCGGAUCAGGUAGGAAUACCCGCUGAACUUAAGCAUAUCAAUAAGCGGGGAAAAAA
rnacentral:rRNA from 1 species